rnacentral:rRNA from 1 species
AACGAACGCUGGCGGCAUGCCUAACACAUGCAAGUCGAACGAAGGCUUCGGCCUUAGUGGCGCACGGGUGCGUAACGCGUGGGAAUCUGCCCUUUGGUUCGGAAUAACAGCUGGAAACGGCUGCUAAUACCGGAUGAUGACGAAAGUCCAAAGAUUUAUCGCCAGAGGAUGAGCCCGCGUUGGAUUAGGUAGUUGGUGGGGUAAAGGCCUACCAAGCCGACGAUCCAUAGCUGGUCUGAGAGGAUGAUCAGCCACACUGGGACUGAGACACGGCCCAGACUCCUACGGGAGGCAGCAGUGGGGAAUAUUGGACAAUGGGCGCAAGCCUGAUCCAGCAAUGCCGGGUGAGUGAUGAAGGCCGUAGGGUUGUAAAGCUCUUUUACCCGGGAAGAUAAUGACUGUACCGGGAGAAUAAGCCCCGGCUAACUCCGUG